rnacentral:rRNA from 1 species
GAUGAACGCUGGCGGCGUGCCUAAUACAUGCAAGUCGAGCGAACAGACGAGGAGCUUGCUCCUCUGACGUUAGCGGCGGACGGGUGAGUAACACGUGGAUAACCUACCUAUAAGACUGGGAUAACUUCGGGAAACCGGAGCUAAUACCGGAUAAUAUAUUGAACCGCAUGGUUCAAUAGUGAAAGACGGUUUUGCUGUCACUUAUAGAUGGAUCCGCGCCGCAUUAGCUAGUUGGUAAGGUAACGGCUUACCAAGGCAACGAUGCGUAGCCGACCUGAGAGGGUGAUCGGCCCACCUGGAACUGAGACCAGGUCCAGACUCCUACGGGAGGCAGCAGUAGGGAAUCUUCCGCAAUGGGCGAAAGCCUGACGGAGCAACGCCGCGUGAGUGAUGAAGGUCUUCGGAUCGUAAAACUCUGUUAUUAGGGAAGAACAAAUGUGUAAGUAACUAUGCACGCCUUGACGGUACCUAAUCAGAAAGCCGCGGCUAACUACGUG